rnacentral:lncRNA from 1 species
GUAGAAUGUGGCCUCAGGAUUCUCAUUCAGAUUCACAAAAUUGAAACUGGAGGAGGUUAGAGAAAGGAAAACAAAGAAAUCAGAAGAAAUUAAAAUAUAGCAGCUGUUUGCCAACCCUCAGCCAAAAGUUAAUCUUUUCUGAAAGAAUAACAGCUGAUGAGCAAGCGUCAUUCUUGCAGAUCUUUAUGGAACAGAAGGAUUUAAGAGCUUUCAGAUUGAUGAUUUAUUAUAAAGACCAAUUGUUUUAUCACAGUUGUUCCCCAUAAUGGCCCAUCGAGGAAAAUGGAUUUCAUUUUACACGUGAGGAAACUGAGGUUCAGAGAAGUUUACAGGAAAUGCUGGGGCUACAAGAACAAUUAAACACCACCACAAGAAAGCAAUCAGACAAAUCUAGAAUUGGGGACAUUCUGCAAGACAACUGAUGUGGUUUCUUGAAAUAGACAAUGCCAUAACAAGAAAAGAUUCACAGGAAGUAGCAAAAAUAAUACAGACAAGUCUCCUGUAGCCUUCAUCCAGUCUUCCCCCAUGGUUUCAUCUUAUG